rnacentral:rRNA from 1 species
CUAAGAAUAUUCCGCAAUGGACGGAAGUCUGACGGAGCGACGCCGCGUGGAUGACGAAGGCCGAUAGGUUGUAAAGUUCUUUUGCUGGGGAAGAAUAACCGCAGGAGGGAAUGCCUGUGGGAUGACAAGAACCGGCGAAUAAGCCCCGGCCAACUACGUGCCAGCAGCCGCGGUAACACGUAGGGGGCGAGCGUUGUUCGGAAUUACUGGGCGUAAAGGGCAUGUAGGCGGCUUGGAAAGCCUGGCGUGAAAGUCUGCAGCUUAACUGCAGGGGUGCGCUGGGAACUGCUGAGCUUGAGUGACGGAGAGGGAGCUGGAAUUCCUGGUGUAGGGGUGAAAUCUGUAGAUAUCAGGAAGAACACCGAUGGCGAAGGCAAGCGCCUGGCCGAUGACUGACGCUGAGGUGCGAAAGUGUGGGGAU